GGUACAUAGAGCAAGGAGUUUUUCCUCAGUUGUUCAGAUGGAUUACUAAGUCAUAAUAAUGAACUGAGUGCUGAACUCAGUGUAGUUGUCAGUGCUGUUUUCAGUGCUGUUUCCAGUGCUGUUUCCAGUGCUGUUUUCAGUGAUGUUUUCAGUGUGGUUUUCAGUGCUGUUUUCAGUGUAGUUGUCAGUGCUGUUUUCAGUGUAGUUGUCAGUGCUGUUUUCAGUGUAGUUGUCAGUGCUGUUUUCAGUGUAGUUGUCAGUGCUGUUUUCAGUGUAGUUGUCAGUGGUGUUUUCGGUGCUGUUUUCAGUGCUGUUCUCAGUUCUGUUUUCAGUGUGGUUUUCAGUGCUGUUUUCAGUGUAGUUGUCAGUGCUGUUUUCAGUGUAGUUGUCAGUGCUGUUUUUAGUGUAGUUGUCAGUGCUGUUUUCAAUGUAGUUGUCAGUGUGGUUGUGAGUGCUGUUUUCAGUGUAGUUGUCAGUGCAGUUUUCAGUGUGGUUGUGAGUGCUGUUUUCAGUAAUUCUUUCACUAAGUGAUUCUGCAUGCGGUGGAGAAGUCUUAGUUUCUACUUUUUGCUUUUCAAGUCCUCUUCUGACUCCUUGUGAUUCCUCUCUACCCUCCAGUACGGAUUGCUAUUCUAACUCCUUCUGAGUCCUCUCUACCCUACAGUAUGGACUGCUCUACUCCCUAACACUCUGUCUUCACAGAUUAUAUUGUGAAGACAGAGGAUGGAACUCGAGGAUAGAAGAAAGUUUAGCUUUGAGAGGACCAGCUAGUACUCAACAUUCAGAAGCGCCGUUCCAGCCAGCCAGCCAGCCUCGGCGGACCCACACCAGCAACCCAGCCAGCCACUCGGCAGCACCACUCCACCAGUCUCCACUCCACCAGUCUCCACUCCACCAGUCUCCACUCCACCAGCUCCACUCCACCAGUCUCCACUCCACCUGUCUCCACUCCACCAGUCUCCACUCCACCAGCUCAACUCCAUCAGUCUCCACUCCACCAUUAUCCACUCCACCAGUCUCCACUCCACCAGUCUCCACUCCACCAGUCUCCACUCCACCAUUCUCCACUCCACCAGUCUCCACUCCACCAUUAUCCACUCCACCAGUCUCCACUCCACCAGUCUCCACUCCACCAGUCUCCACUCCACCAUUCUCCACUCCACCAGUCUCCACUCCACCAUUAUCCACUCCAUCAGUCUCCACUCCACCAGCUCCACUCCACCAGCUCCACUCCACCAGCUCCACACCACCAGUCUCCACUCCACCAGCUCCACACCACCAGUCUCUACUCCACCACUCUCCACUCCACCACUCUCCACUCCACCAUUCUCCACACCACCAGCUCCACUCUACCAGUCUCCACUCCACCAGUCUCCCACCAGCUCCACACCACCACUCUCCACUCCACCAGUCUUCACUCCACCAGCUCCACACCACCAGUCUCCACUCCACCAGUCUCCACUCCACCACUCUCCACUCCACCAGUCUCCACUCCACCAGUCUCUACUCCACCAGCUCCACACCACCAGCUCCACUCUACCAGUCUCCACUCCACCAGUCUCCACUCCACCAGUCUCCACUCCACCAG
rnacentral:lncRNA from 1 species